UGUGACUCGGGGAGAAGCUCACAGGACAUAUUUCUCUCUUUGUUUAGGAUGGCCACCCUGCUCAGCAAGUUCAGGAUAGACUUCUCCGACAUCAACGUACUAGGAGACAUCAACACCAAGCCCAAGAAAGAGAAAACCUGAGCCCUAGGACCAUGCCUCAGGACUACCUGCCCUUAUGACUCCUGGCUGUCCCCGGUCUAACUGGUUGUGCUGCUGCUCCAGUUUCAUCUGUUCAAUGGAACUCUGACCUGUUCACCGGACAUUCUACCUUUUCCCGGACCUGCUGUCUCGACCUCUGAAUGACCGGCUAUGAAAAGCCAACUGACAUUUGUGAAUCUUUUCAGGAAACUCAGUGUAUUUCGCAGGUCACUACUUCACAAGAGAACCAUUUGAAUGUAAACUUUUUUUAAUAUCAAAAUGCAUUUGCCUUAAUAACAAACUUUUAUGCCAUCUGUAAAUAUGAAUAAAAUUGUUAAAUUACGAGCCUAGUUGGAACCUCUUGAAGCUAGGGUGCACUAUUUUUAUUUUUGGAAAAAUAACGUUCCCAAAGAAAACGCCCUAUUUCUCAGGACCAGAUGCUAGAAUAUGCAUAUAAUUGACAGCUUAGGAUAGAAAACACUCUAAAGUUUC
ensembl:lncRNA